rnacentral:lncRNA from 1 species
UUACAAGUCUCAGAUUCUGAAAAUUCAAAAUUUCUGGCAAUAACUCAGCUGAAAUGCAUGACAGAAUCCUACACAUCACUCGAAUCACACUGUCAAGAUCUGCAAAAGGAAAUCAACAUGUUACGUUCAAACCCAUUGGAAAACCAACUUGUUGUAAAAGAACAAAUAUCUUGUCAUCAAGAUUAUUUGGAAAAUCAAAACACAGAACAGGUAUGAAAGUUUUAACUGCACAAAAUGUUUAAAGUUAAUUUAAUUCAAUUUUAAUCACUGAUGUUGUCUGCAGAAUGGAGCUUCCAUCUUCCAUAAAUCACGUUGUGAUUCAUUAUUCAAUUAUUUCUGUAGCUCAAACAACCCAAUUGAGCCCAAAUACAGGUCAACUCACUCGGUCUCACACAUAACAGAAAAACAUGGACAUCAAACUGAUACUACGCAAUUCUUUUGAAGAUUGAGUGAGUAACUGAGUGAGAAAAUGUAAAUGUUGGAAUGGAAUAAUUGUUGUUUUCAGGCAAUCACAACACUAGUCUCAAAUGUUUGAUGUUUCUUUAACUUUGCAAUGGCUAAUGACACAAUCUAUCUUGAUUUAAUCAUCCCUUGUCAAAAAUCCAAAUUGAAGAUGCAAUGAAAAUCCAAAUUGAAUUUUUUGCUUACCAUCAGAGCUGGUAGAACGAAAAUCCAUCUCGUAUGAGGACGGUUCCAACUUGCAUCGUGAAUUCUCCUCAUGAUGAUUGCACGGUAGAUCUGGGACUAAAGAAGGCGAGUUGUUUUGCAAAUCCUAAAACAAAAAUUAAAAAGGCCCCAAAGCCUUGAGGGAUUUUAGAUUGUUCAGUGAUUGGUUUCUCAUCCUUACUUUCAAAUACCACAUCAUCCUUUAUCGAAUUUUAAACCUCCUCUGUUAAACUAUUUUUGAUCGGCCGAUAUACCACCGUUCGUCGGUCGUCGUCAUCUUAUAAUAUUG